GGCAAACACCGAGCUCCUCCAAAGCCGCCCGGGAGCAGGGAGGGCUCCGCUAGCCCGGGGGGGCCCUCCCCGCGGGGCAGAUGAGUUCCAUAUCCAGACUCUCAAACCAUGUUUUGGGAUCAUCCAAACAUUCCGUCCUCCUGACUCCAUAAACUAUUGGAUUCAUAACCUGCUCCAUACUUGAAAACAUGGGGACUGGAAUUCGGAAACACUGAAAAUAGAAAUGCUGUCAGAAGCAAUUGGGGAGCAACCACUUCUACUUGAUCCAUAGUAUUCAUUCCACUGUAAGUCUUUGUGUAAUGUUUGACAGCUAUGAUGAAUGACUUAAAUGUAGUAGGGAGAUUUUGAUCCCCAGCAUAUGAGAAAUGACUGAGUCAAAUUUGUAAAAGUUGAGUAAAAAUUACUUGAUUCAAAAAAAUGAAAAUCAGGUGGAUUCUGUAACAUGAGAUUUGCAUUAGUGAAUAUGUGCUUUCAUUGAAUGAACUGACAAAAAUCAAUAUUUUCUUUAAAUUUGCAUUUGUAACACUAUUCAAAUACUUAUAUAUACAUCAUAUUUUGUAUAUACAAACACACACACACACAUUCAUACAACAGACACAACAAAAAUCUGUAGCGAUCGGGGAGUGAGGAAAUACCUGACCUACAAGCCCAUCUUGGAGGAAAUAUUAAAUCUAAUGAGAGGAAAAAUACUACAGCUAGUUGAACCUUGACUCAGUCAUGCAUUCUGACUCAUGUGAAAUGAUUGGAUUAUGAGUGAGAUGAAUUUUUUUUAUUGACCAACAAGUGGAAGAGGGACAUAUCAGAGUCCUAGAAUGAUAAUGCAGGUUAAGUUUAUAAAAACAUAGUCUUGGCCUGGCGUGGUGGCUCACGCCUGUA